AUUUCAAUCUUAUCGCAAGCUGUGGCAUUCUUCCGUUCUUAUAAAUUUUCACGUAAAGUUUUCUCCCAACCACAUCUGAGAAAUUGUCAUAUAUUCAUCCAGAGAUCAUGCGUGUCUUCAACGUGGCAGCUUACCAGUGUCUUCCCGCCGGACAAGUGCAGUGCCCAGCUACGUGGGUGUGUGUGGGCCCGAAGUUUAUCAAAAAUUAGUGAUACCUGAAGCUUUUGGGAGUACUUCAGAUGUUGAGAAAAGAGGUACUGACUCGUCCUCUCUCAUGUGUUAGGUGAAACUUGCAAGCUCUUCGCUCCAAAACUCUUCUGAAUGUGGUACUGACUCUUCUCUCUCGCGUGUUGAGAUGGCUUCAGUUCACAACCUCUUCUGAAUAUGUGUACGAUGACGGUAUUUCUCCGCCAUACUUCUGUUUUGUGAGAUAACCAGAGACCUUCACCUGUUGAGAGACGCUCAGCAAACAAACUCCCAGCCUGACACAAGCAACGAGAUGCUACAAAGUGUGUUCAGAGUCGCCACGGAGCUCGAUUCCCAGCAGAGGCGGCAGCAGGAUCAGCAUGACACGAGGGGCUUCUCUCGAUCGAUCACAGUUCUCCAUGCUGUGGAAUCCAACAAUUAAUUUAUCUUCCUUACCUUCCUCCUCCUCCUCCUCCUCCUCCUCCUCCUCCUCCUCCUCCCUCAGGUGACAUGAGUAAAGUUCGCCCCACUAGAUGCCUCCAGCCUUCCUCUGACCCUCCCCUCCCCCUCUCCCUCUCUCCUGCUCCUCACCCUCACCCCUCCCCCUCCCCUCCCUCCCCCGGCGCCCCGCCCGCCCCUGGGAGAGUGUUGGGGAGUCCCGGGUACGUCUGCUGGAGCCCGGAGGAGGAAGUAUUAGGGUACCCUGCCCUCCCCACCAGUCUUUCCCUCCCCUCUAUCCUCCCCUCUCCUCUCCUUUCCCCCGCUGGCUGCAUCUCCCCAGACUACGCCUCUCCCCCAGCCCCCCCAUGCCAUCUAGGAGUUCUCACCCCUCCGCCCAACUCCCCAGCCACCUCCCCAAAUAUAGUUGUCUCUCCAUCUUCACUCUCCCCACCUCCUAACACCCCACUGUCCCCACUCCCCAGUCCUCCUCAUUGUCCUGUGUCCCCUCUCCUCCACCACCCAAUCCCCUCUCCCUGCCAGCCACAUGUCCCCCCUCUCCACCUUCUCCCCAAUGCUCUCAUCACUCCCCUCUCCCCUCCACUAAACGCCCCGCCCUCUCCACCGCACACCACUCCCAUUUCCCCUCAGUCCCUCUCUUCUUCCCCUCAAAACACCGUCCCCUCUCCGGUCCAGGUUCAGACAAUUCUCCUAAACAUUGCAACCUCCCCAGAUAAGCCCUCCCCACCUCCUCCUUACCUCCUCACACCACCCAGCGAUCCCCAACACCCACAGCCACGCGGGGGAGUCACGGGGGAUCUUAUUACCUUUAGGGACGCCACACCGGGGGAGGAAAAAGAACCGAAGGGUGAAAUAAGGAAGAAAAUGGCGGGUGACUCGGAUAAAACCGACUCGAAGAAGCGAAAUGAAACGGGUUCGGAUCUAGUGAAGCUUCGAACGCCGCCCGGAGGAGUGGGGAAGAAGCGGAAGAGGAGGAAGAGGAGGAAACCUAACGAGGAGAACGAGGACGAGGUCAAAAGUCGUCUGUCUCUCUUCGGUGACCCCAGAGAAAGGCCACUUCACUUCCCCAUGAUUGAUGACCUCGAAGACGACCUGACCUCCCGCAACCCCGAGCCUGACCCACCUCCUCCACCUCCACCUCCUGCUUCUUCUUCCUCGUCCUCCUCCUCAUCCUCCCGCGACACCUCCUCUUCCUUUUCUCUAGACGAUAUAGGAGAAAGCGCAGCAGAGUUAGCGGAGCAGCUUUGUGACGUGACCAGUGAAGCGGGUCACCUCAUCACCAAGGAACUGAAGGAGGGGCUGGAGUACGUGACGCAGCCUGAGGACACCCUGGAGUUCGGGUGGCUUGACACGGUGACCGGCCUCGUGUCCAUCGUGGCCUUCUACUUCGAGCUGGUUUCCGAUGGUCUAGUCACCUGCUACCUCUACGGUGACGACGCUGCCAGGCCUUGGUUCCUCGCCUCCUUAGUGCUCCUUGUGGCGCCCUUGUUGAUCGUAAACGGCUUCAGCUUCUACUGGUACUGGUUUGACGAGGUGUGGUGUCACGGGUUCAACAGCCAUGCCCGCUCCUCAGUCUGGGUGUGGGCGGCCAGGCUGGGAGGGCAUGUACUCCUCCAGGCGCCCGUGCUAAGGCAGGUGGAUAUCAUUUAUUACGGACACAAAAGCCUGGCGGAAACUAUACUGGAGGGCGCCUCCGUGGACCAGGUGAUGAUGGAGGCCGCCCGUGACCAGCGCCGCGACGCCCACGCCUCUGCUCCAGCCCCUGCCAGCCGCACCCCUGUCUGCCGCGCAGCCGUCUGCGGCGCCCGUCGUCGUUCUUCAGAGUGCUUCGGGCGAGGUGGUGGGUACGUGGCGCGAUGGAUCCAUGCCGAGCGGGACGCCACCAACGUGGAGCUGCUACUGGCGCUCUCCCAGGCAGCGCCUCUGCUUAUCCUCAACCUGUUCAUCAUGGCCCGCACCCUGCCCAUCCAGACCCGCCAAGGACACUUCAGCGAGACCAUGGUGGUGCAGAUCUUCUCAGAGUGGUCGUCGCUGCUCACACUGGCCUGGUCGGUCUCCUCCUUUGUGCGCGCCACCCGCCUCACUGAGCCGAGCCUGUCCAACCUCUCCAUCUUGGACCAGAUGCUGCUCACCCUCGGUCACUUCUGCUCCAUCGUCUCACAGGUGAUGAGUUUUGCCCUGUUUGCCUCCCAGUUAGUGGUCACUUUCUUCAUAGUCGUCAUACUCCACUGGCUUUUCAUGAGCUGCUGGAUACUGGUGCAGCUGGUGUGUUUCCCGCGCACCACCUGCACCCGAGCCUUCUUUGCCCACGAUCGCCGCCUGGGCCCCUGCCACCAGCUGGAUGAUGUGUUGUACAGUGCCAUGAUGGGCCUCGUCUUCCUCUUCACCUUUGUGGACGUUGGGGGAGUGAAGGCGACUCAGGCCCAGGCAUGGCUCUACCAGCUCCUCAUCUUCCUAGAGCAGAUGCUGCUGCUCUCUGUGUGGUUAUUGUGGUCUGGGGGCACCACCUGGUAUCACUGGCUACCCCUGCUGCUGUCUCCUCUCCUCCUGUGCCUCAACCUUGCCUUCAUGGCCUGCUUUGCUGCCUCUGUCAAGACCAACCACUGCCCACCGCUGGCCAAGCAUGUGUGAGGCAGCAGGCAGCAUGCAUGGCAAGCGAGAAAUGGCUGCUUAACCUUGGCUUCAUUCCCGUUAUUAAACUUACUGAGUCCAAAAUCCUCCAGCUGAAGGAAGCCUGAAGGUGGAAGCAGGAUACUGCUCCCACUGCCACUACCAGCCAGAAAGGAUACCAAUGUUCUUGUUGGCUUGGACAUCAUACAACACAUCCAAGGCUCCCAUUUACCUGCAGCUGUUUCUAGAAAGUGCUUGAGUGAAGGCAGCCUUACUUACUGUUCAUUUAUAGGGGAAGUAUUGCAUGACAAUGUGCUGCUUUUUCUGUGUAAUAUUAGUUUUUAUUGCACUCAAAAUAUGAGCGAAGACAAGUAUGCCACCCCCCCUCUCUCCCUCCCUCACCACCCACAGACCCCUUCUCAAAACUGGUGCCUGUCGUCACCUCUCACACACACACACACACACACACACACACACACACACACACACACACACACACACACACACACACACACACACACACACACACACACACAAA